GGGAACGGGUCUCUGCCGUGCGGAGGUGGGCCCUGUCCCGUGCCGGGUCACCAGACCCAGGUUCGCAUGCCGUGCCUGUGGGGCUGCUCUGAAGAGCUUCUUCCUUCCCUAGUUCCAGGGGGCCCUGCCAUAAGGCUGCUGCAGAGGCCGAAGACGCUUCCCCUCUCCAUGCUGCUGAGCUGCGAGCCAGGCACGAGGCAGCAGGAUGCGGCCAAGAAGCCUUCUGCCAGCGUGCUCCCGCCGGGUGCAGGCAGGCCACCCGGGACAAAGAAAGCGGGACAAAAGGAACCAGCUCCUCCAGCCCAGCCCAGCGCAGCACUCCCUGCAAUGGAAGACUCUAAGAGAGCGCUGCAGGUACCGGCUCUGCCUUGCUGCAGGGACUGUGCUGCUUGAGAUGGCACAAAUCAUAGAACCAUCGAAUCAUAGAAAGCUUUGUGUUGGAAGGGACCAUUCAGAUCAUCUAGUUCCAAGCCCGCUGCUAUGGGCAGGGACACCUCUCUCUAGACCAGGUUGCACUAAGCCCAAUCCAGCCUGGCCUUGCGUGCUUCCAGAGGGAGGGGAGCAAAAGCCUCUGAGUGUGCAGCCAUCUGGAGCAGAGCCCUUGGGGUGCCAUCGUUCCACAUCUCUGUCCGCUCCUUCAGCUCCUCUGCAGGAGAUGGAGGGUGCUGCACACCUUCCCUGUCUCUUCUCGCCUCCCAGCCUGCCACCUGGCACAGCACACUGAUUUUGACCAGGGGCUGUGAGAGAGGAUCGCGGCCGUUCUGGAUCCCUGACAGCAGAGGCCUUGGGUCUCCACAGGCCUCUCAGCUGUGUUUGCCGCAGGUUCAGGGCCCCUGGACCUUCCGGGCCAAAGCAGUGCUGGCAGGCUGACAGAGGCGAGGGGCAGGAGCCCGGAGUUGAAGGAAGGCCCCAGGGGCUGAGCCUCAUCCUGUUUGCUGCUGUGUCUCUGUGGCCCUGCAGGAGCUCCGCGAAGUGUCUGCAUUGGGAUACAAAGCGGACCGCUUGCGGCCUGUGUACCGGCAGCGGAUCCAAGAAGCACAGGCUGAAAGGGCUGCAUGGGAAGACGAGUGCAGGGAAGGACUGGCAGCCACCCCAGCGGUUCGCCAGGGCAAGCAUGUGGGCUCCGCAUCCUCCAACCCAGCCCAGGGGACAGCAGGUGGGGAAGAGACAGAGGAAGGCU